rnacentral:rRNA from 1 species
AACAAACGCUGGCGGCGUGCCUAACACAUGCAAGUCGUACGAGAAAGGGUCCUUCGGGGCCUGAGUAAAGUGGCGCACGGGUGAGUAACGCGUGGAUAAUCUGCCCUUCAGUUGGGAAUAACUCAUCGAAAGGUGGGCUAACACCGAAUAAUGCUGUGAGACCUCGGUUGAUCAGCCAAAGAGAGCCUCUGCUUGCAAGCCCUCGCUGAAGGAUGAGUCCGCGUACCAUUAGCUAGUUGGUAGGGUAAUGGCCUACCAAGGCGACGAUGGUUAGCUGGUCUGAGAGGAUGAUCAGCCACACUGGAACUGAGUCACGGUCCAGACUCCUACGGGAGGCAGCAGUGAGGAAUCUUGCGCAAUGGGGGCAACCCUGACGCAGCAACGCCGCGUGAGUGAGGAAGGUCUUCGGAUCGUAAAGCUCUGUCGGAUGGAAAGAACCGCAUAGGGGUAAACAGCCCCUGUGUCUGACGGUACCAUCAAAGGAAGCACCGGCUAACUCCGUGCCAGCCGCCGCGGUAACAC